GAGAGUUUUUGUGCCGAGCAACACAGCCCUCGUCGGUGCUCCUCCGAUUCGGGCGGUUUUCCGGGCGGCGGGUCUGGAAACGGAACCCAGCAGUCUCGCCGUCUUCAUCUCCGCUUCCCCCUUUGCUACAGUUGCUCUCUAGGCGUUACGAGCUACUGUAACUCUCGCUUACUCUCCCUAUACGUCUCCAAAACUAAUGCGUUGCCGUUGUCUUCGUUUUCUCCGGCGAAGGUAAGCCCAGUUAUCACCUCCGGCAAAGAUCGUCGUCGUCAAAAAUCGUGGUCGUAGUUGGGUGGGUUCUUCAUCUGGGUGGGUUUCGAUUGGUUGAUUGUUGGGUUUAGUAGUCGUUUGUGGGAGUGGGUUUCGAUUUCUAGGGACUAUUACCAAAUCAGCUAACUCCGAUCUUUAGAAAAACCCCUAUUUAUUUUGAUCGUCAUAGGUUUAAUUUUUCCCAGCUAACUGAACUUAGUGAUAGAUGACUUCACCAUACAUACAUUUACCAUUAUGGGUCAAAUGUCCAGAUAGGCUAGACCAGGGCAAAUGCUGAUCCUGGAAACUUUAAGGUAGCUUUUCUGCAUGGUUAAAUUAGUAUAGCUGGAGUAUGUUCUGAGGGAUGAGCCUAAUGAACGUACAGGUAGCUACGAAUAUACAGAAUAUGAAGCGAAUUACUGAUCAAGGGGACACAAUAGCUUUCAAAUCAGAAGAGUGAACAAAAUAUACCCCAGGAUACCUAAAAAAUUGCAAAUGAGGAGCAUCAUUCUCUUUCCAUUGCUGAAAUGGAAGGUACAUUGAUCACUCAGAAGGUACCUCAAAUCCAAACUUUUCACACGUAUGUGUGAGUGAUGUGGUCGGGGUGUGCCCGAUUGAUGUGCCCGUAACAUUAUUGUUUUUUAAGUAGAAAACUUCUCGUAGUUGUUUGAUAAAACAUCUAAGGGAGAUGUUUGGCAAAAUCAAUUGUAGUUGCGUAUGCACAAAGCAUGUCAUGGAAUGAGGCUUUGGUGUCCCAUGUAGAUUUCAGGAGAUUGUCUAUUGAGUUUAAUGAGUUUAGUUUUGACCGUUUGUGUGUGAAGAAUUGUAAAUUAUUUCUUAUAAAUUGAUGAUUAGUUUAGAUUCUUGGAAAGAGAACUUAUUAUGUUGUGAAUUUUGGGGGGAUCACGCAUGCUAGCACGCAAAAAUCUCGUGCAUGUGAUGUUUGAUGAACAUUUGCUAAGUCGCCUUUGCCCUUCUGUUUUAUCAAAACAUCAAGGGAACAAAAACCCCACCUCUCUUUAUCUUCAGAAACUGCAACCCUUGAAGCAGAAAGUGAACAAAGCCCAACAUCACUUGAUGCCUUAUUACUCGAACUAAUGAUGCCUUAUUACUCGAACUAAACAUCUGCUGAGACUUUUUACAGUGAGCAAUAGCACCCUCAAUGGAGCCUUCCUCAAGCUCUGAGCUUGAACUGGCACUCCUCUUGAGCAACUGCAAAUCAUACAGGGCAUUCAAAUUGAUCGAAAAUGACGAUGACAGAGAAGAAGCACCGGACGAGGAAGAAGAAGACAAAGAAUAUUGGUUACGAAUUUGAGAUAUCUCUAAGCAAGAAUAUUGUUUGUUUACAACUCAUCCCUUUUCAUUAAGCCAUGCUGAGUUCAUCCUUUCGAGGCUCUAUCGGUGUUUGGUCCUCUUCGCAUCUCCAGCCAGGUUAUUCCACACAAUUUUCUUUAUCUUUUUUGUUUUUUGGUUUAAAAUUUUCAUAUUUAUGGGAAAGUGUUAUGGUAGAAUCUUUGAAAUGGAUUACUGAGAAAAAUCAACAUUUGGUAGAUUGAAUUCUGACUCCCCCAACUAUCAAACAACAAAUGUGACCUGGGUAAAACUAUAAUGAAUAUAUGGGAUAAUCUUCUGAUGAAUUGGUAAUUCCAUUCUGAAUGUGUACUAAUGGAAAUGCCCCUUGCAUGCCUAAAAUGCAACAUGCAUGUUGAAAUUUCAUAAUUCUAUUGUUUUUAUUUAGAGGUCUGAAUGUCAUAUUGGGGCUUUCAAAUUACAAAAACACUCUGACUAUGGCGCUUCCAGAGUCCUAUCAUCUAGGUUAAUAAUUAUUAAAUAAGAUCCGACUUCGCACAAUGAGCGUGUGGCUUAAUUUGAUUAGUUUGUCAUCAUCGUCUAAAUAUUUUGGGUUGUUUGGUUAGAAACCUUUUUGAAGGAUGGGUGAUGCUAAUCUUUCUGAUUACAAUUGGCAAAGGGCUUCGUUGCUAGGCUAAUCGGUCGGUAUCUUAGCUUGGUAGGUAUAUGGGAGGUGUACGGAAUUGAAACAAAGCAUUGAAUAGGGCCUUUUUUUUUUUGUUCCUGUGAUUUUUGAAGUUUUAGGCAGAGCUGACGAAAAAGGAGUCUGAUUUCAUCGAGUUGCUUGAGGGCAACCUCCAAAAGUUCGAAAGGAUUUUUCGUAGAGAAAGUGGAAGCGUACACCAUCGUCACCGUCAUGCUGCAUUAAGUUUUGGGCUUUGGUACUGGUACCCAUGGUAUUGUUUAUCUUUAUUGCUAUAGGAACUAUAGAAAUUCUAAUGCUUUUCUUUGAAACAGAAGUUGGGUCGUCGAAAAUCACAUUCUCAUCAACCACAUAUAACUUGUUGUUUAAGUCCGUCUCAGAAGGCACAUAAUUACCAAUUUGUCCACAUGUAUGGUAGUUUGAUCAUGCAUUGUUGUUUCCACAUCUGAUAUGGCAGUAGUUUUCUUCUUUGCUUUAACUUUGUAAUUUCUUUGUUCCACAUCUGACAAUAUAAUUGUUGAAUUAGUCCAUAAAAAGAAAAAAAAGUUCGACCACAUAGUCAUUGAGACUACAGGUAGUGACUAUUUGCUAGAUACAUUGGACUUCUCCAGUUGGCGUUGUGCCAUAUGUGCUAUUUAUCAACUUUGCAGGAUUGGCAAAUCCGACACCUAUCAUUCAGACUUUUUAUGUAGAGGAUCAGAUUUUUAAUGAUGUUAAGCUACAUGGCGUAGUCACUUUGGUUGAUGCUAGACAUGGUAAUAUUCACCUGGAUGAUGUUAAGCCGAAAGGAGUGGUCAAUGAAGCAGCAGAGCAAAUUGCAUAUGCUGACUGUAUCGCAGUCAAUGAGGUACACAAUGUUUGUGCCUCUUAAAUAAAAAGGUUAAACUUUAGAAUUCAUGACUGACUUAGUCUAUGUAAACUGUGUUCUGAUUUUAUUUAACUCAGUGUCGUUUCUGUCAGUGCUUCGUCGAAGCUGAAACAUUAGGACCUCCGAAGACCAGUCUAGGGACCUUUGAAGACUGGUCCAUGCAUAGCUUAAUUUUUAGUUUGAAUUUGGAGCCCAUGGCUCACCUCAUCGAUUCAUUUCUGCUCCUAAAACCAACAUUCUACCAAGUUCAGUUUAGUAUUCUUCUGCUUGGUGGUACCUAAACUAUCAUAGGAAGAAAUUUGAGGUUUCGAUAAGUUCAAGCUACUGAAUGUAUUUUGUGUUGUCUAUGCUGUUGUAGUAUCUUGGUAUCGCUGUAUAUGCGAAGUUAUCUGUGUUAGAUAGUGUAUCGUAGUUGAAUAAAUCUUUGAGUUUCUGAUUUAUGUUUGCUGGUUUAAAACAUGGUUACUUUGGUCUUCCUUGUUGCUGCUAGACCGAUCUUGUUGGCGAGCCACAAGUUGCUUCUUUGAUUCAGCGAAUAAAGGUAUAUCAACGUCUUGCUUAUUUUUCAUAUCCGUAGAUUUUUAUACGCUUUGUUAAUUUUGCUUCCUAACUUUGAUGUGAAACUGGCUGAACACAGCAUAAAUGGUCUGGGUAAUUUGAAAUGAUCCCAGUUUGGAAAAGUUGAUUUGGAUUAUGUUCUUGGGAUUGGAGUCUUUGAUUUGGAAAGGUUAUACGACUUCCGAUAUUUGUCUCAAUUUGUUGAUUUAGGUUCAUAAGCCUUUGUCUUAUUGCAUUGGUGCAAAUUAAUGUCCUGUGUUAUUUAGAUGCUGCAAAGCUUUUUAAUUCCAGCUCAUUACGCCAUCUUUGCUCUUGGUUUACUUUUCAAGCUUAUAUUUCUAUGUUUUGAUGCACACUUGCAGAUUUAAAAGUGCUAUCAACGCUAAAGAUUCAAAGGAAGAUCAUAGAAAUAUAAACUCCUUCGAUACUCUGACAUCCUUUGCAAUAAUUUCCUUUGGCAAGAUCUGGCAGUAACAACCAAGUACGGUGAUUUGCAUCAGAAGCCACUCUGUGAACGGUUCAUGCUACUCAAAAAGAUGAUGACAUGCCUCCAAUUGAAGUCAUUCUUCCACCUGAUGCUGAACUUAAGCUUGCUUGGCUAGAGAUUACGAAGCUGCAGGAUGACAACAAGGCAUUAGAUCGUCACCAAGUCAAAAGAAGCUGCUUUGCUUGAAGCAGAGAGGACGGUUCAGGUUGCCUUACCAAAGGCUCCCUUGCUGGAUGAUCUGCAGAAUAAGAACCAAGAGUUGAUGAAGCAGAUGGACAUUUGUCAGGUAAAGCCGUCCAUCUCUUGCAAAGAUGCAAUAUACCUGGUAGAUGUAUCAUACAAUUUACUUGUUUUGGAUUCCUCAUUGUUUUGUGUAAGAUCUCAUCAUAGACUAACCAUUCCGCUAAAUGUGUAUACUUACAUGAAAAAAGGCUUCACUUUUAAACUUAAUUUGAUGAUAACAAGCUAGAUCGGAAUGGAAUGUCAAUUUACACUUAUUUCAA